UUGGAUCCACACCUCUGUUUCCACCUAAACACAUUACAAUAUGCGUAAUCUGUUAUUUGUUGUGUGCUGGUAAACUUCACACCAACAUUGCCCGAUGUACAUCAAUGUUCAUCUGGCUCAGAAAGAAUUUGUUUUUUUAUAUCUUCUGACAGUGAAAUACUCAAGAUUCAGUUAAUAAGCUUCGCUGCACUUACAGCACCAGUGAUCAAUACGAUCAAUACACAACGUUUUUCUCCCUGUUGUUAUAAAAUGAACUGAGUGGAGCAGUGGGUGGAGUUUAUUCACACUGCUCAGAGUGAAAGAGUUCAGUCAAACACUGUUUCUGCAUCACUGACUCUAUGAAGACAACAUGUUUCUCUUCACCUGCAUUAUAAUACAGCUUUACAUGGGAAUUUCAAUUGCAGAUGAAAUACAUCCCCUGUCUACAGACAAACAUGUAGCUGAAGGUCAAAAUGUGACUCUGUCUUGUAAUUACAGCACCAGUACUGGCACUGUUAACUCUCUCCAGUGGUAUCGCCAGUAUCCAGGAGCAAAACCAGAGUUUUUACUUUCUCUAAAUGAAUAUUCAAACAGCUCUAAACCUGAUCUUCGUCUGGUUUCAAACGCUGUAAAAGCACUGAAGCGUGUGGAUCUGCUGCUCUCCUCUGCUGCAGUAUCAGACUCUGCUGUGUAUUACUGUGCUCUGCAGCCCACAGUCACAGGAAACACAUAAACACUGAACAAAAACCCAAAACAUCAGCAUGCUUGAAUUUGUUAGAUUUAAAGGCUUUAAUAUGUUUGUAAAUUGUUAAACAGUUAUAAUCUUAUUUGGACCUACUAUAUGUUACCUUUAGUCCAGAACACACACUGGUCAAGCAGCAAUGCAAAAACUACAUGAACUGAUCAAGUAGGAAUAUUUGCACAUUAAUAAAAGCCUUUUUGUUCUUUUGAAAAAAAAAUGACAUUGAAACAACCUACAGAAAUGUAUUGUAAAGAAUUUUCUGUGGAAUUUAAAGGUUCUAGAAGGGACAUCAAUGCCAAUAAAGAAUCUUUAUUUUAAGGGUGUAGCAUGUAGCUAACUGCCUAAAGUUACUAUUGUUACAACUGUGCCAAUCAUCCA